UACGUAGGUGGCAAGCGUUGUCCGGAUUUACUGGGCGUAAAGGGCGUGCAGGCGGUCUGUUAAGUUCAGGGUGAAAGCUCCCGGCUCAACUGGGAGAGGUCCUUGGAUACUGGCAGACUUGAGGAGGGUAGAGGAGAGUGGAAUUCCCGGUGUAGUGGUGAUAUGCGUAGAUAUCGGGAGGAACACCAGCGGCGAAGGCGGCUCUCUGGGCCCUACCUGACGCUGAGACGCGAAAGCGUGGGGAGCGAACCGG
rnacentral:rRNA from 1 species